GAUCCCUGGGUCAGGAAGGUCCCCUGAAGGAGGGCAUGGCAACCCACUCCCAUGUUCUUGCCUGUAGAAUCCCAUGGACAGAGGAGCCUGGCAAUCCAUAGGGUCGCACAGAAUCAGACACAACUAAAGUAACUUAGCGUGCACGCCCACAUCUGGUGAUACUCUCAGGGGUGUGUUAGACUCAGGCAUUAAUUUGCAGUGUGGCCUCAGGACUGCUGGUCUGUCAGGAGCUGAGAGCUCUAGAAUCAUCUGCCACAAUUAGUUCCAUUACCUUGGACAAGGCACCAAGCCUCUCAAAACCUCAGUCUUUGCACAUGUGUGAUGAGUAGUUGGUCUAAAUAAUAUUUUUAAUUUUUUCAGAUAUUUAAAAUAUCUGAGAAUAAAGAAAUGGGGUCAUGCCACUGUAAUGAGAACAUAAGGACUAUUGCAAAUAAUUCAGCAUUGGAAGAAGAUGUCAAAGUAAGGAGUUAUUAGAAAAUUAUAAAGAAGGAAGAAACCUUCAUUGAAAAUCACAAGGAGAUGGGGGUCUCCCAACUGAAUGAACAUUGAAAUGGUGAUAC
rnacentral:lncRNA from 1 species